rnacentral:lncRNA from 1 species
GUGCUAGAAGCAGGAAGUGAACAUUGUACACAAACCUGCAAAUCACAGGCCGGCUGGGACUUUCUGACCCUCCUCGGGCCUGCACCCCCUUCUCCGAUACUCUGGCGACGACGCGAAGCUUCGGAAGACAGGGCCCUUCUGCGCAGGCAAGUCGAGGAUUUGGGAGAAUGUGAACACACUGGCCGCUCCCGGAGGCGGGGGCGGACCUCUAAUCCUAGCGGGGUCAGCACGGCGCCGAAGAAUGAUUUCAAAAGGAAUGUUUCAUUGACACCGGAAUCAAGAACUAGAAAUGAACCGACUGCAUCUCUAUUCCGUAUUCUCAGAAAAUUGCUGCGAACAAAAGGAGACGAUUCUAAGAUUGAAAUUUCUCCUGAUAAAUGGAAGUUGAGCCGCUGCGCCACCUGCAUUACUGGUAACACCUGAAAUUCAGGUGCAGAAAAAACCUGAGAGGCACCAGUGUCACUACUGCCCAUAUAAGCCAGCGGGGAAGCUGAUUUGUAUGGCGCUUCAAGCCCACCCGGGGGUCCUGCCUCGUUCAGCCCCUGGAGGCCUAAAGGAAUCGUGUUAUAAUCAUGGAUCUUAUCGCACUUACCCAGUGGACGCUAAACUCCCCCACAGACAGGAGUCACAGCCGAUUUACUCUUGUAUCUCAGAGCCUGGCCAAGUGGGGACCCUAGUGUGUGCUCAGCAAAGGUUUGUUGAGUGAAGCCCAGCUAAAGACUGUACCCGGAGUGCGGCGACUCUGCAAAUACCUUAGGAGGCAUAAAAACGCUCUGAAGGGCAAGGAGCCAAGGGCCGCAAACCGAGAAGACCAAAGAGCGACUCAGCCCCGAUAACGCUUCUACCAAAUCUGGGACUCGUCCUUGUGGCCUCAUUUUGUCGUCUCAUGAUCGGGAUUGGCUGCCCCCAACGUGAACACUGGAUAUCAGCUGAAUGGCUUCCGUGUGUUGCUAAAACCAAUAAUCCACACCAGAGAUUCAACUGAUGGAAUCUCCCUACACCACGCUUGUAUUAAGUAAUUAAUAAUAUAGUAAUUAUAAGUAUAUAAGCCACAGACAUAUUUCUCCAGAAAGUACUUUGGAGUUUUGAAAACAACCCAACACACCUCCCUUUGCAAGGUGUUUGGAAAGGGUACUGUAAACUCUGAAAGACACAUUUGAUUCAUUUUCGUUAAAAUCGGUCAGCUUUCUGCUGCUCCCAGCUAAGGACUCUGGCUGUUCCUCAGAGUCUCCGGGGUUCGUUGUGCUUUCGGGACUUUGUGGACGCUGCUCUCUCUGCUCGAAAUACACCCCCAACCACCCCCAACCCUUGUUCUGGCCAAGUCCUCCCCAUCUUUCAGGAUUCGGCUCGUGGGUCGCUUUACCCUCAAUCUAGGCGAGCGGUGCUUUUUCUAACACCAUUUGUACACCUUUAUAACAGCAUA